rnacentral:rRNA from 1 species
GGACGAACGCUGGCGGUGUGCUUAACACAUGCAAGUGGUGCGACGAACCAGAGCUUGCUCUGGGGCAAAGCCGCGAACGGGUGAGUAACACGUGGGUAAUCUACCCCGAUGACCGGGACAACCCGAGGAAACUCGGGCUAAUACCGGAUGUGGUGCGGAGACAUAAGUCUCUUCACUAAAGGUAGCUUCGGCUUCCGCAUUGGGAGGGGCCCGCGGCCCAUUAGCUUGUUGGUGGGGUCAAGGCCUACCAAGGCAACGAUGGGUAGCUGGUCUGAGAGGACGAUCAGCCACACUGGGACUGAGACACGGCCCAGACUCCUACGGGAGGCAGCAGUGGGGAAUCUUGCGCAAUGCGCGAAAGCGUGACGCAGCAACACCGCGUGAGGGAAGAAGGCCUUAGGGUUGUAAACCUCUUUCAGAUGGGACGAAGGUUCUCCGGUGAAUAGCCGAGAGGAUUGACGGUACCGGCAGAAGAAGCUCCGGCUAACUACGUG